ensembl:lncRNA PURPL p53 upregulated regulator of p53 levels
CAGUAACCGAUUUUAACAUUGGAAUCUUUAAAAAAAUCAAAUCCAGCUGGUCAUGUAUAUCUCAUAGAUUGCAGGUCUUUUCCAUUGUAGACUGACUGCAAUUUGGAAAUGUGGAUUUGUCAACCAGGAAAUGUAUGAGAUAUGAAGAUGCUGUCUGAGAUAGUUGGUCCUUCAGAAAUCUAAUAGAGCAACAGUCUAGAUAUACUGAGGAAUAAUAGCUAUAUGUUAAUAAAUUCCAUAAUUGUUCUCAUAGGCUCAGUGUGAUUCAGCAUAGGAAACUCAUAAAACAUUGCUAUGGCCUUUAGAAGCCUGAAAUGCAAGUCUCCUUGAGCAACAGGCUACUGAAGAGAUCUCAGACUCUUACAAGUCCCGUCCAAUAGUGUAACACAUUUAUGUAUAUCCUAUAUCCAAUAAUGUAACUAAACUUAAACUACCCGAUAACUAAAAUUAUUUGGUAAAGCUCCUAUAUUUCAUCCACCUUAGAUAAAAUAAUGCUGGUUAAAUUUUCAUUUUGAAGAAUUGUUUGGUUAUUGGCUAAAUUUUAAUGAGCCAUGAUCUUAGUUUAGUAAAUUUUUAACAUAAAAUUAUGCUAAACAAGAUAUGAUAUAUAAACAAAAAGACUUUAAUUUCUUAGGCUUCUUUUUAUGGUGCACUUUGCCAUUUAAAAAUUAAAUUUUUUAUGCUAUAAAUUCAGUAAGGUCAUACAUACGUAAAACUUUCUAUAAUAGUCUCGAUUUUGAGAUGGCUUGAGGGUCAGAUGUAAGGAGAUUUUACAUAGGUUAGACUGUGAUUAGUAGACUGGAUUUUUUUUUUUUUUUUUUUUUUUUUUUUUUUUUUGAGUUGGAGUUUUGCUCUUGUUGCCCAGACUGGAGUGCAAUGGCAUUAUCUCAGCUCACUGCAACAUCCGCCUCCCGUGUUCAAGCAAUUCUCCUGCUUCAGUCUCCGAAGUAGCUGGGAUUACAAUAGACUGGAUUUUAUCAAGGAAUGUAUUUCUUCUAGAAAAUAGAUACACUUUCAAAGAUACGUUAAUUUACAUGAGAGCUUGCCUGUGUGCACAAUAGAAAGCCAAAAAUAAAGAGGUUAUCAUCUAAUGGCACAAAGUUUUCUUAUUUCAUAAGCUUGCAUUUUCUUUUCUUAUUAAACACCGUCUCACCUUUCUUUUUCAGGAAACACUUUCUGAAAAUGUCAGAACUCUUGAAAACAUGGAUGAGGAAAAGCAUAAGUACUGCUUUAUGCUUUUCUUAUGAAUUUUAAAAGAUGUAAUUUAAAGGUACUUUAAAGUGAUAUUUGUGCCCUUGUAACUGAUUCAAAGUAGACUGCUAAGGACAAUAAGUAAUAAGAGUCUACAAAUAUCAGUAAAUUAUGAGAAAAAACGGUCUAAUGGUACUUAAAAUUGCAUUGUGAUUUAUUAAAUAACAUUGAACAGCUCCACCUGUAACAUUAAGAUUCCAUUUGAGCAUAUAGAAAAUAUAUUUAUCGCAACCUGAAGUGAUUUGGAAAGUAUGCUGGGAAGAAAAUAUAUUUACAAAUUAGUCUCAGAGGGUAGGUAUCCUGUAGCCAGAUGGAAUAAGAAGAGAGGGAAGGGAGAUUUUGUUCAAAGGGGGAGCAUAAGCUAAGGAAUAAAGCCACAAACAAUGAUUAAAUUAGGUAAAGUGCAAUUAGCUGAAUAUUGCAUAAGCAUACAUAUGGGAAGAAGUGGAAAAAGGAGUGACAAUAUGAAGCUAAAGGGUUUGAAGUGUUCAAGAUAAUACUAGGCUUCCUAGCCUAUUCCGAGACAUCUUGUUUUAGAGUGCAAUAGAUAAGAACUCUAAGGAUGAAAGUAGGAGACAUGCAUUCUAGUCUACGUUUUGGUUAAUGGACUGAAAGUGAAAGAUGGACUGAAAUUGGGGGAUGGAAUAAAAAUGUGAUAGAAUAGAAAAUAGAAAAAGCAAUUAGCCUAAUGUCAUUGAUACUUAGAGAAAAUAUGGAAAAUAGUAAAUUAGUGAUAUAUAUCUUUUCUAAUUCACCAGGGUGAGUGAACAAAGGAAAUCGGAUUUAAAAGUAUUCAUGACAUAGAUGCAAUAAGGUUUCUCAGUCAGACAUAGCAAAUUGAGGGAAGGGAAGAUUUAGAGGAUUGGAAAAUGUCUUGCUUGUAGACUAAUAGGAUAUCAAUAAGCCAUAUGAGCAAUAAUUUGAAAUAGUUUUUGUAAAGUAUCAUGAAGGUAAACCCUGUUUAGAACAAAUUAGAUUUGAAGUACUUGUGACAAAUGCAAUUGACAAUGCCUUUAUGCAGCUGGAAAAUUGUUGCUUAGCAGAAAAGCUUGUGCUGGACAAAUAGAUGUCCAAAUUGAAUAGAUGUUUUCUUAAGCUGAACUAAUUGAGACAAAUAUCCUUAUUAAAUCAAAAAAUUAAAAAUUGAAAUAACUUACCUAUGAUAGGGUAAAUAAUGUUAUUAAUAUACACAAGAAAUAUGUGAUGUAUAUGUGUAUGUACAUAUGUAUACAUAGUAAUAAUACAUAGUGCUAUUUUUAAAUGAUAUUUUACAUAGUGCUUUUUUAAAUGAUUUUUCAAUCAUCGUUGUUGGUCUGUGUUAUUUUAAUCAUCAAAGCUGAUUGAUUUCUGUUUUUGUGUUUUUUUUUGUUUUUUUUGAGGUGGAGUCUCACUCUGUCACCCAUGGUGGAGUACAGUAGUGCGGUCUUAGCUCACUACAAACUCCACUUCCCUGAUUCAAGUAAUUCUUGUGCCUCAGCCUCUCGAGUAGCUUGGAUUGCAGGCAUGCACCACCACGAGCUGCUAAAUUUUUUGUAUUUUUUGUAGAGGGGUUUUGCCAUGUUGGCCAAGCUGGUCUCAAACUCCUGACCUCAAGUGAUCCGCCCUGGCUUCCCAAGCCCAGCUGAUUCCUGUUUAAAUAAAAACUUACAAAGAUCUUCCCACAAGUACUUUAUCUUACAAUUUACUGAACAAUAGAGGCAGUGAAGAUGUUUUUCAGAAAGCAAUUGUGAUCCUGACAUUUUCUUCUUAUAAUCCUGUGCUUUCCUCAUUUUUUUAUAUUAAAAGUAAUAGUUCUUGUGAUGGCAACUAGGAUUUGUAACAACAUGUACCCUCAUUUCCUGCAUGACCUUUUUUAUGUCACUUCUUCACAUGCAAAGUAUACUCCCUCAGUGUCAUUACAUUAUUUGAUUUUUGCCCUUUCCCUCACCUUUCCAUGUGUUUAUUUGCCUAUGCCCAUCUCCUAGUCACAUUUUAUCUAGUUAACGCCAACUUGACUUUCAAUGCUGUUCAAGAUUUACCUCAAUCUCAAGUGUUUUCUCUUUAUAUUCCAUACACGCUUAGCUUGGCUGCCAAUCCUCUUGGCUGCCAAAGAAUCCCAAAUUAUCUCUUUCAAAAAUACAAGAAAUAAAGGAUGGAGGAUAGGAAGGAGGGUGGUCAGGAAAGAACAAAGAAAGGAGGGGAGAGGAAAAAAAGAGAGAAAGAAAGAGAAUUAAAGUUAAGGAGGAAGAAUUUCACACUGAAUUAAAAUUGAUAAUAUUCAGGAAUGAUUUUAUAGUAGGCAUACAUUGAUAAAUAUUAGUUAAAUUAAUGAAUUAUUCCAAAAGAUCAUGAUUUGUAAAAAUUACCCUGAAGCACUUUAGGAAUAUUACAUUGAAAUAGGUAUGCAAUUUCUAAAGAAACUGGACUGCAAAAAUAGCCAUUGUGUGUACCUGUGGACCAGAAUAUUAUAUUUUGCUUAAGUUUGAAGUGUUAAAGUGCCCAACGUGCUCUUAUUUUAACCUAGCAAAUUUUCAGCAGAACUUAAGCUCAUAUAGUAUUUGAUUUUUUCAUUUCUCACAACUGUUGGAAUUCUGUUUUAUUGAAAAUUAUACAAUAAAAUGUUAAAAAAUCUUUGUUCCUGCAGUUAUGCAAUCUUAUGCCAAAGUCAAUAAAUUAUUAAAUUAAAAUCAAACCCACUAAGCCUAACAAUUUGAGAAAAUGAUUAUUAAAACAUAUACCAUUUAGAAGGGCAAUGCCUUUUUAAUAUUAUAGUGAAGACAACCCUAUCAAUUAUUUAAUACACCAAGAAUACAAGGAUAUAAAAUCUUUUUCUCUCAUAUAUCACAUUAUCUGAUGUAUUUAGCUGUGAUGACAUUCCAGAAAACAUCACUUUUUAAAAUUUCUAAGAUUUUAUUAUGUUGCUAGCAAAUCGAUUUUUUUCAAGUACUGUAACAAAAUCCCUAAAUGGGCUUUAUGAGAACUAUUUUCAGUGUGAUAUUAAUCAUAUUUUAUUUAUCAUCCAUACAUAGAUGGUAGCUUAUCUGGUAUUCCUAGUGUUUGAAGUGAAGAGUAACACACACACACAUCCCAAUACCAAUUUAAUUGAUAAAUAUAUAAUCAUUUGUUUUCAAAUAUUUAUGUUGAUACUUGCUUGUGUACUUACUUGUAAUGUAGGUCUGUAAAAGGGACUGUUUUCUUUCUGUGAAACUGAAGCUUAAAGCAGUGCUUGUCACAAAUUCAAAAUCACCUUGCUUUGUCAACAUUUUCAGAUGUUUUUGGCUCAGUCUGAUGACAGCAUCAGUGCAGUAAAGGGAUCUUAUUGAAAUGUUUUAACUAAAGAUAAAAUGCCACCACUAGGAGAAAAAUAAAAUCAAGGAAAUAAACAGAAAAUCAAUAAAUGUGAAAUGUAUUAUAAAUUUAUAUAAUAACAAUGUUGUAUGCUAUAAACAUCUCACUUUGUAAAAUUAACAAGAAUUCAGUGAGGCAGAUCAUUUUCUAUGUGUUCAGAAGUCAAGUCUUUGAUGGCUAAUUUUUAUAUUACUUCAUUACAAUAUCUCUACUGAAGCAAAAUAAUUGCAAAUCUUUUUGAAUGAAAUCAAUUUAUCUUUAAUUUUAGAUAAUAUUUGGUAUAGUUGGCAUAGUUUUGUCACAAAGCAUAGCUAACAUCAAUGUAGCCUUACGACUUCAAAUGUCUUUAUAGAUCUUUUCUGAAAUUGCAAAAUUUUACUUUGAAAUUAUUGUUAAUAUUUACGUUGCACAACCACAAAUGUAGAAAUAAAAUUAUAAAGUCUCCAGAUAAUGUUUUAUUUUAACCACACAUAUGUUGUGAUAGUUUCAAAUAAAUGAAAGCUCUACUGAUUUAUCAUUUUCAACAUCUUUACAUUAUUUAAGUAAUAUUAAUUAUAUUUAUGUAAAAAUACCUGAAUAGUCAUAACGAAAAUUUAAUAAUAAUGUAUAAUAUAUUGUUAACAUCUUUUAUUUUCACAAAAACACCAAGGAAGAAGCAGUGAGUAUUUUUUAUUUAUUUUAAAAAUUAACUUUUCAAUAAAUUAUUUAGGAAUGACUGGAAAUGUGCUGAGACAAAGAAGCAGUUGUCACUGUACACAAACAUGAAAUCAAUUACCUUUUGGAGAGUUUAUGAUGUGUGAGAGCUAGUGAAGUUACAUUGCAGAAGAGCAUAUAAGGAAAUCCAGAUCUGUAUAUAUUGUAGUAUAGUUUUAGUAUAAAUCUCUAAGAUUACACUUUAGACUAAGCCACAUAGUCAAACUGUUGUCUAUUUAUUCCUUUUGAAGAUUGAAACUCCCACAACUUUGGCAGACCAACUCCUCAGAAAACAUUAUUCUUUGACAUCAAUAUGUUUUGCACAAAAUUGAAUGGCAAGUGAAAGGCAUCAAAUGAUGGAGUCUUGUUCUGUGGUCCAGGCUAGAGGGCAGUGGCAUGAUCUCGGCUCACUACAAGCUCUGCCUCCCGGGUUCACGCCAUUCUCCUGCCUCAGCCUCCUGAGUAGCUGGGACUACAGGCGCCCGCCACCACGCCUGGCUAAUUUUUUGUAUAUUUACUAGAGAUGGCUAGUGUUAGCCAAGAUGGUCUCGAUCUCCUGACCUCGUGAUCUGCCCACCUCAGCCUGCCAAAGUGCUGGGAUUACUGGCGUGAGCCACCGUGCCUGGCCAGCAUCCUCUAAUUAUUAUUCAUAGUUUGUGAAUUUAGGCCUACGUGAAUAAUAAUAUAAUAUUUACUAUGAUGUUACUAUCUACCAACCUUAUUUUUCUUUUCUAUAAAAUAGGAGCCAAAAUAAUAUUUAUGUCAUACCUUAUGAAGUUAAAAUAAAAUAUAACGAAUGAGGGGC